UAAGACGAACCGUGCGAACGUUGUUCGGAAUCACUGGGCUUAAAGGGCGCGUAGGCGGCCCGCCAAGUCAGGGGUGAAAGCCCCCAGCUCAACUGGGGAAGGGCCUUUGAUACUGGCGGGCUCGAGCGGGAUAGGGGCGGACGGAACUUCCGGUGGAGCGGUGAAAUGCGUUGAUAUCGGAAGGAACGCCGGUGGCGAAAGCGGUCCGCUGGGUCCCUCCUGACGCUGAGGCGCGAAAGCCAGGGGAGCAAACGGGAUUAGAUACCCCGGUAGUCCUGGCCCUAAACGAUGGGUACUAGGCUGUGGGCUUGACAUGGGCGCACAGCCGAAGCGAAAGUUCUAAGUACCCCGCCUGGGGAGUAUGGUCGCAAGGCUG
rnacentral:rRNA from 1 species